rnacentral:rRNA from 1 species
UUGUUCGGAAUUACUGGGCGUAGAGGGCGUGUAGGCGGUUGGGUAAGUCAGCUGUGAAAUGUCACCGCUUAACGGUGAACUUGCAUUUGAUACUGCCUAACUGGAGGUCAGGAGAGGAGAGCGGAAUUCUCAGUGUAGCGGUGGAAUGCGUAGAUAUUGGGAAGAACACCAGUGGCGAAGGCGGCUCUCUGGACUGAUUCUGACGCUGAGGCGCGAAAGCUAGGGGAGCAAACAGGAUUAGAUACCCUGGUAGUCCUAGCUGUAAACGAUGGGCACUAGGUGCUGGGAAUAUCGACGUUUUCAGCGCCGUAGCUAACGCAUUAAGUGCCCCGCCUGGGGAGUACGACCGCAAGGUUGAAACUCAAAGGAAUUGACGGGGGCCCGCACAAGCGGUGGAGCAUGUGGUUCAAUUCGAAGCAACGCGAAGAACCUUACCCGGGCUUGACAUGUUGGUGAUCGUUCUGGAAACAGGACUUCCCUUCGGGGCACCAUCACAGGUGUUGCAUGGCUGUCGUCAGCUCGUGUCGUGAGAUGUUGGGUUAAGUCCCGCAACGAGCGCAACCCCUGUCCCUUGUUGCCAGCGAGUAAUGUCGGGAACUCUAGGGAGACUGCCGGUGAUAAAUCGGAGGAAGGCGGGGACGACGUCAAGUCAUCAUGGCCCUUAUGCCCGGGGCUACACACGUGCUACAAUGGCCGGCACAACGAGAAGCGAUACCGUGAGGUGGAGCAAAUCUCUAAAAUCCGGUCUAAGUUCGGAUUGCAGUCUGCAACUCGACUGCAUGAAGGUGGAAUCGCUAGUAAUCGCGGAUCAGCAAUGCCGCGGUGAAUACGUUCCCGGGCCUUGUACACACCGCCCGUCACGCCAUGGAAGCUGGUGGUACCCGAAGUCGCUGUCCUAACCCUCUUCGGAGGGAGGGAGGUGCCGAAGGUAAAAUCAGUAACUGGGGCGAAGUCGUAACAAGGUA